rnacentral:misc_RNA from 1 species
GAUGAAGAACGUAGCGAAAUGCGAUAAGUAAUCUGAAUUGCAGAAUUCAGUGAAUCAUCGAAUCUUUGAACGCACAUUGCGCCCGCCAGCAUUCUGGCGGGCAUGCCUGUUCGAGCGUCAUUUCAACCCUCGAGCCCCCCCGGGGGCCUCGGUGUUGGGGGACGGCACACCAGCCGCCCCCGAAAUGCAGUGGCGACCCCGCCGCAGCCUCCCCUGCGUAGUAGCACACACCUCGCACCGGAGCGCGGAGGCGGUCACGCCGUAAAACGCCCAACUUUCUUAGAGUUGACCUCGGAUCAGGUAGGAAUACCCGCUGAACUUAAGCAUAUCAAUAAGCGGAGGA